rnacentral:lncRNA from 1 species
AAGGAGCAGGCCCUGUGUCUUCCCUCCACCUCCAGUGAUUCUGUCCAGCACGGGAGCCUGGACCUGGGCCAUGGGUCCUGCCCGCCAGGCCUCUGGACCUCGGUGGAGGCCGGUCCUGGCCUGUGAGGGGGCAGCAGGGGCCUCUGAGUCCUCCACGGCGUGAGAGACGGAUGGGGUCUUUAUGGUAUAACUGAUAUGUGAAAAACGGCACAUAUUUAAUCUGUGCAGUUUGAUGAGUUUGGACAAAGGCACACUCCUGUGAAACCAUGACCACAAUCAGGGGUCCCAGUCGAGAACUUGCAAGGACAGAGCAGGACUCUGGAUGUUGGUUCUCCAGCCCCUCCUCCAUCACGGGAUGUGGGACCACCUGUGCCUGGACCUCACCUGACCCCAAGUCCUGAC